AAAAAAAUGCAAAAACAGCCUCGCGCGUCGAAAUGACGACGUGCAUGUUGGCCCACAUUUUGUGCACCGUUCCGUCUUUGGUGGUGGGGCGAGAGCAGCCAAAGCUUUCUUUGGCUGGUCCCUCGCCUGUCAGCUCGGACGCCGCGUUUGCCGCGUCCGAGCCGUGGACAAGCCACCGCCCUUUUCUUCAAACCUUUUUGCUUUGCCUUUUUUUCUGUCUGACACUCUUCGUUUGUAUGAAUGUACAAAA
rnacentral:misc_RNA from 1 species